rnacentral:rRNA from 1 species
UACGGAGGGGGCUAGCGUUGUUCGGAAUUACUGGGCGUAAAGCGCACGUAGGCGGCUUUGUAAGUUAGAGGUGAAAGCCCGGAGCUCAACUCCGGAAUUGCCUUUAAGACUGCAUCGCUUGAAUCCAGGAGAGGUGAGUGGAAUUCCGAGUGUAGAGGUGAAAUUCGUAGAUAUUCGGAAGAACACCAGUGGCGAAGGCGGCUCACUGGCCUGGUAUUGACGCUGAUGCGCGAAAGCGGGGGGAGCAAACAGG